AGAAUCAACGCUGGCGGCGUGCCUAACACAUGCAAGUCGAACGGGAAAGUGGAGCAAUCCAUGAGUAUAGUGGCGCACGGGUGAGUAACACGUGACUAACCUACCCUCGAGUGGGGAAUAACUCCGGGAAACCGGGGCUAACACCGCAUAAUAUCGAGAGAUCAAAUGCGAAAGCAGCUUGAGGAGGGGGUCGCGGUUGAUUAGUUAGUUGGCAGGGUAAUGGCCUACCAAGACGAUGAUCAAUAGCCGGCCUGAGAGGGCGCACGGCCACACUGGAACUGAAACACGGUCCAGACUCCUACGGGAGGCAGCAGUGGGGAAUUUUGCGCAAUGGGGGAAACCCUGACGCAGCAACGCCGCGUGGAGGAUGAAGUCCCUUGGGAUGGUAAACUCCUUUCGAUCGGGAAGAUAAUGACGGUACCGGAAGAAGAAGCCCCGGCUAACUCUGUGCCAGCAGCCGC
rnacentral:rRNA from 1 species